rnacentral:rRNA from 1 species
UGGCGGACGGGUGAGUAAUGCAUAGGAAUCUGCCCGAUAGUGGGGGAUAACCUGGGGAAACCCAGGCUAAUACCGCAUACGUCCUACGGGAGAAAGGGGGCUCCGGCUCCCGCUAUCGGAUGAGCCUAUGUCGGAUUAGCUGGUUGGUGAGGUAAAGGCUCACCAAGGCGACGAUCCGUAGCUGGUCUGAGAGGAUGAUCAGCCACAUCGGGACUGAGACACGGCCCGAACUCCUACGGGAGGCAGCAGUGGGGAAUAUUGGACAAUGGGGGCAACCCUGAUCCAGCCAUGCCGCGUGUGUGAAGAAGGCCCUCGGGUUGUAAAGCACUUUCAGUGAGGAAGAACGCCUGGUGGUUAAUACCCAUCAGGAAAGACAUCACUCACAGAAGAAGCACCGGCUAACUCCGUGCCAGCAGCCGCGGCAAUACGGAGGGUGCGAGCGUUAAUCGGAAUUACUGGGCGUAAAGCGCGCGUAGGUGGCUUGAUAAGCCGGUUGUGAAAGCCCCGGGCUCAACCUGGGAACGGCAUCCGGAACUGUCAAGCUAGAGUGCAGGAGAGGAAGGUAGAAUUCCCGGUGUAGCGGUGAAAUGCGUAGAGAUCGGGAGGAAUACCAGUGGCGAAGGCGGCCUUCUGGACUGACACUGACACUGAGGUGCGAAAGCGUGGGUAGCAAACAGGAUUAGAUACCCUGGUAGUCCACGCCGUAAACGAUGUCGACCAGCCGUUGGGUGCCUAGCGCACUUUGUGGCGAAGUUAACGCGAUAAGUCGACC